rnacentral:lncRNA from 1 species
GGUUAGACACAGGGGAUUUUGAUGUAAUCCUAGGAAUGGAUUGGCUGGCGGCGUAUCACGCCACCAUAGACUGCUUUAAUAAAAAGAUUGUAUUUAAUCCUCCCAACGAGGAGCCAUUUACAAGUUAAUAAAAUUAUUCGAUACUGAUUCUCCCUAAUGACAAAUUCUUUUCUUCUUAAUUCCCAGUGCGUUGAUAUUGUAUUUUCCC